rnacentral:rRNA from 1 species
GAUGAACGCUGGCGGCGUGCCUAAUACAUGCAAGUCGAGCGAAAAGACGAGGCACUUGCUUGUCUGACGGAAGAGGCGGACGGGUGAGUAACACGUGGAGAACAUACCUAUAAGACUGGGAUAAAUUAGGGAAAACGGAGCUAAUAACGGCUAAUAUAUUGAACAGCAUGGUGCGAUAGUGAAAGACGGCUUUGCUGUGGCUUAUAGAUGGAGCCGCGUCGCAUUAGCUAGUUGGUAAGGUAACGGCUUACCAAGGCGACGAUGCGUAGCCGACCUGAGAGGGUGAUCGGCCACACUGGAACUGAGACACGGUCCAGACUCCUACGGGAGGCAGCAGUAGGGAAUCUUCCGCAAUGGGCGAAAGCCUGACGGAGCCACGCCGCGUGAGUGAUGAAGGUCUUCGGAUUGUAAAGCACUGUUAUUGGGGAAGAAGAAAUGUGUAUUUAACUAUGCACGUAUUGACGGUACCUGAUGAGAAAGCCCCGGCUAACUACGUG